rnacentral:tRNA from 1 species
GCCCACCUAGCUCAGUUGGUAGAGCAGUGCUUUCGUAAAGCACAGGUCAUCGGUUCAAGUCCGAUGGUGGGCU